GGCCAUGACAUUUAAGGCAUGCUCCGAUACAGUGGAUCACAAUUUUGUUAACGUAUUCAUGUAUAUGUACUUAUGUAAGCAUAAUCAUGUAAAAGUAUAUGAACGUAUGCCUUUGCUACCCAAAGGCACUGAACUGACUGAAAGGAACUAUUAUGUCCAUAUAUGUAUACAUGAUAUAUAACUAAUAUUUAAACGACCUUCGGACGGUACCCGAUAUCCCACCAGACCACAUCUCAAGCGCGAAAAGGAAAUAGGGUGGAUAGCCUUCCUAAGUCUUUUAAACAUUACUUAUAUAACUAUACAAAUAUAGGCAUGCUUAUAACAAAAUCUCUAUGUAAACGUAAUUAUGUAAUUGUAUAGUAAUGUACUAUGUGUACUAGUUGUAAUGUAAGUUCUCUCUAUCUAGCAAGUAUGGACUCAUGAAUGAACUGACCCCUUGUAUGAUAUCGUGUUCUAGUAAUAGUUCUAGUAUCUUCCUAAACUACCCAUAUGGUAGCUUACUAGUAAUAUAACUGGUACGUAUGAACAUGGAUGUAUACCCUUGCUAUCCAAGGGCAUUGGAUGAACUGGAAACACCUUUUAUGACUAUAUAUGUACACAUAAUAUAUAACUAAUAUUUAAACGACCUUCGGACGGUACCCGAUAUCCCACCAAACCACAUCUCAAGCGCGAAAAUGAAAUAGGGUGGAUAGCCUUCCU
rnacentral:lncRNA from 1 species